GAUGAACGCUGGCGGCGUGCCUAACACAUGCAAGUCGAGCGACUCUCUUCGGAGAAGAGCGGCGGACGGGUGAGUAACGCGUGGGUAACCUGCCCUGUACACACGGAUAACAUACCGAAAGGUAUGCUAAUACGAGAUAAUAUGCUUUUAUCGCAUGGUAGAAGUAUCAAAGCUUUUGCGGUACAGGAUGGACCCGCGUCUGAUUAGCUAGUUGGUAAGGUAACGGCUUACCAAGGCGACGAUCAGUAGCCGACCUGAGAGGGUGAUCGGCCACAUUGGAACUGAGACACGGUCCAAACUCCUACGGGAGGCAGCAGUGGGGAAUAUUGCACAAUGGGCGAAAGCCUGAUGCAGCAACGCCGCGUGAGCGAUGAAGGCCUUCGGGUCGUAAAGCUCUGUCCUCAAGGAGGAUAAUGACGGUACUUGAGGAGGAAGCCCCGGCUAACUACGUGCCAGCCGCCGCCGUAA
rnacentral:rRNA from 1 species